GGCUCGGUGGUCUAGUGGUAUGAUUCUCGCUUUGGGUGCGAGAGGCCCAGGGUUCGAUUCCCUGCCGAGCCC
rnacentral:tRNA from 1 species